AACAAUUUUACUCCGUUAGAUUUGCUCUAAAUGCUUUGGUUUUUGAGUUAUAAGCUAAAAACUGCAUUUUACCCCUAUGUUCUAUUUUUAGCCAUGGCGGCCAUCUUGGUUGGUUGGCCGGGUCACGCCACACAUUUUUUAAACUAGAUACCCCAAUGAUGAUUUUGGCCAAGUUUGGUUUAAUUUGGCUCAGUAGUUUCAGAGGAGAAGAUUUUUGUAAAAGUUAACGACGACGGACGACGACGACGACGGACGACGGAC
rnacentral:lncRNA from 1 species